rnacentral:rRNA from 1 species
UACGUAGGGUGCCAGCGUUGUCCGGAAUUAUUGGGCGUAAAGAGCUCGUAGGCGGUUUGUCGCGUCUGGUGUGAAAAUCCAGGGCUUAACCCUGGACCUGCAUCGGGUACGGGCAGACUAGAGUGCGGUAGGGGAGAUCGGAAUUCCUGGUGUAGCGGUGAAAUGCGCAGAUAUCAGGAGGAACACCGGUGGCGAAGGCGGAUCUCUGGGCCGUAACUGACGCUGAGGAGCGAAAGCAUGGGGAGCGAACAGG